AUUGAACGCUGGCGUCAGGCCUAACACAUGCAAGUCGAGCGAGCGGCGGACGGGUGAGUAAUGUAUGGGGACUGCCCGAUAGAGGGGGAUAACUACUGGAAACGGUAGCUAAUACCGCAUACUAUCGGAUAACCCAUAUGGGAUUAGCUAGUAGGUGCGUUAAUGGGUCACCUAGUCGACGAUCCCUAGCUGGUCUGAGAGGAUGAUCAUCCACACUGGGACUGAGAAACGGCCCAGACUCCUACGGAGGCAGCAGGGGGGAAGAUUGCACAAAGGGAGAAAGCCUGAUGCAGCCAAGCAGCGUGUAUGAAGAAGGCCCUAGGGUUGUAAAGUACUUUCAGUCGGGAGGCGUGACCGACAGAAGAAGCACCGGCUAACUCCGUGCCAGCCGCCGCGGUAAUUC
rnacentral:rRNA from 1 species